AGCAGCUGUGGAUCACUGGAAGAUCGCCGGUCUCAUAAGCCGGAGGAAGCGGGUUCGACUCCCGCCGCUGCUACCA
rnacentral:tRNA from 1 species